CUCGCUGGACUUGACCGUUCCGGUGUUGACGCAGCAAAUGACCGCCGUUUGUGUGUUCUUGCCUAUUGUAUUGAUUUUCUUCUCCAUCUUCUUACUUUUUUUUCCCGCAUUUCGCGUCCGUCCGACUUUGUCCUCCAGAUGUCUGCGUGAACUCCAGUUGCUCCCCCGACGCUGUCACCCGACAUCAUCGCUCUUCGUUGACGCAAAAAAUUAGAACAAUUUCAUUUUCUUAUGAAAAUGAAAACGUGGCGAUGGGUCAGCGGUUCAAAUCCCAGCUGCGACUCUCCGCUGCCGACGUGUCCUCGGGAGAGAGACUAGACCCUAUGUUGCAUCCAGGAUGGCGGCGAGGUGGGGGUCUUUGAUGGUCUUCACGUUCCUUUAUGGAGUGACCCUGAGGUGGAAGUGGAGCGGCUGGUCACCUGCGGGAGGACACGGCUCAAGUUCAUGGCGCUCAAGCGGAAUAGAUGAAUG